rnacentral:rRNA from 1 species
GAUCCUGGCUCAGAUUGAACGCUGGCGGAAUGCUUUACACAUGCAAGUCGAACGGUANAGGGGGCAACCUCUCGAGAGUGGCGAACGGGUGAGUAAUAUAUCGGAACGUGCCCAGUCGUGGGGGAUAACGUAGCGAAAGUUACGCUAAUACCGCAUACGAUCUACGGAUGAAAGCGGGGGACUCGCAAGAGCCUCGCGCGAUUGGAGCGGCCGAUAUCAGAUUAGGUAGUUGGUGGGGUAAAGGCUCACCAAGCCAACGAUCUGUAGCUGGUCUGAGAGGACGACCAGCCACACUGGAACUGAGACACGGUCCAGACUCCUACGGGAGGCAGCAGUGGGGGAAUUUUUGGACAAUGGACGCAAGUCUGAUCCAGCCAUUCCGCGUGCAGGAUGAAGGCCCUCGGGUUGUAAACUGCUUUUGUACGGAACGAAAAGGUCUGGGUUAAUACCCUGGGCUCAUGACGGUACCGUAAGAAUAAGCACCGGCUAACUACGUG